rnacentral:rRNA from 1 species
UACGUAGGGGGCAAGCUUUGUCCGGAUUUAUUGGGCGUAAAGAGCGUGUAUGCGGCCUGAAAGGUCAGCUGUGAAAACUCGAGGCUCAACCUCGAGACGUCGGUUGAAACCAUCUGGCUAGAGUCCGGAAGAGGAGUGUGGAAUUCCCGGUGUAGCGGUGAAAUGCGCAGAUAUCGGGAAGAACACCCGUGGCGAAGGCGGCACUCUGGGACGGUACUGACGCUGAGACGCGAAAGCGUGGGGAGCGAACAGG